rnacentral:rRNA from 1 species
GACGAACCACACGAACGUUAUUCGGAAUCACUGGGCGUAAAGCGCACGUAGGCGGAUUGUUAAGUCGGGGGUGAAAUCCUGAGGCUCAACCUCAGAACUGCCUUCGAUACUGGCAAUCUCGAGUCCGGAAGAGGUUGGUGGAACAGCUAGUGUAGAGGUGAAAUUCGUAGAUAAUAGGAAGAACACCGGUGGCGAAGGCGGCCCACUGGAUCGGUACUGACGCUGAGGUGCGAAAGCGUGGGGAGCAAACAGG